UACGUAGGGUGCAAGCGUUUUCCGGAAUUAUUGGGCGUAAAGAGCCCGUAGGCGGUCAGUCGCGUCUGCUGUGAAAACUCGGGGCUUAACUCCGGGCCUGCAGUGGGUACGGGCUGACUAGAGUGCGGUAGGGGAGACUGGAAUUCCUGGUGUAGCGGUGAAAUGCGCAGAUAUCAGGAGGAACACCGGUGGCGAAGGCGGGUCUCUGGGCCGUAACUGACGCUGAGGAGCGAAAGCGUGGGGAGCGAACAGG
rnacentral:rRNA from 1 species